rnacentral:tRNA from 1 species
GGUGGCUCAGUGGUAGAGUGCUUGCCUCACAUGCAUGAGGUCCUGGGUUCGACUCCUAAGCACCA